rnacentral:lncRNA from 1 species
AUUAUCGUAUUUAUUUUCAUCAAAAACUAUCUAAAAUAAUAUAAAAUAUUAUAUUAAUAAGAUUAAAAUUAAAAAAUAAAUAUUUUUUUAAAAAAAUUAAUUUUUAUUAAAUGGAAGCUUAGUCUGUGAUUCAUAAGGUCGUAUGAGAUCAUCGAGAGAAUUGGGCCAGUAGCUUACCGUUUAGCUUUACCGUAUGAAUUAGAGAAAAUUCACAACGUCUUUCAUGUAUCAAUGUUACGGAGAUAUCGAUCUGACCCUUCACACAUAAUUUCGCCUGUUGAUGUAGAAAUUCUGGUAGAUAUGUCCUAUAGUGAAGAACCAAUUAGAAUUGUAGCUCGAGAAGUCAAAUAGUAAACGAAUAGCUCUGGUUAAAGUUUUCUAGCAUCGUCAUGGGGUCGAGGAAACUACCUGGGAACGAGAAGAAGCUAUGAAAGUGUAAUACCUAAACCUAUUUUCUGGUAAAUUUUCAGGGACGAAAAUUCCUUUAGGGGGAGAGUUGUAAUGACCCAUUUAUAGUGGUGUCAAAAGCAAUGGUCUCGGGACCACGAUUUCGACAAGAGAGUAAAUAUUUUAUUAAUUAUUUAAAGCUUACGAGUGUUUAUUAAGGUAUUAUUAAAUUUUUGUUAAGAAAUUUUGAAGUUUAAACUAUUAAUUAGGUAAAAAAGAACUAAAUUGAAAAAGCUGCAAAAGUCUUCUUCUGUUAGUUAAGUGGAUUAAAUAGCUUUAACAAGGUGAGUUAAUGGACUUAUUUAGUAAUUAUGCUGUAUAUGUUUAUAGUGGACAAAUAUGGACAUGUUUAUGCUAGUAUUUAAGUUAUAUUAUCAGGGCAAAAGAGUAAUUAAUCAAAUAAUCAUGAAAUAAAUAAAACAAAAGCUGUCAUGUUCUUUCUCUUUUUCUUGUUUAACUAUAAACACCAUUGAAUGGGGGAUAAAAGCUUCAUUUUUCUUAAUUCACUUGCAUGGUAUGUAUUCAAGUCCAGUUUUUAGUAAUUUUUAUAUUUUGAGCUUUUUUUAGCUUAAACUACUUAGCUCGAGGAUUAAUUUGCAAAGCUGUUAAAGGUUAAAGGAAAUGUUAGGAAUGAAAUUGAUGAAUUUGUGAUGUUAAUUGAUAGGUUAUUACAUUUGGUUGUUAACUAAAUUUAUUUUGUUAAGUGAUUUUUUUAUAAAUUUAGUGUUGAAGAUUAAUUUGCUAAAAGUGUAAAAUUCCUUGAAAUUAUUUUGGGUAAAUAUGGGCUGAUUAGGUACUCUAGAAGAAUCAGUUAACACAUGUUGUCUAUGAAAAUAGUGAAUUUGCAAGUUAUGGUUAUAAUGACUAAGUUGUAAAAAAAUUAAAAUAGGAGGGGUAAUUUUGUAAUCUCAUGAUAAUAUGAAUUAUAGAUUGAAUUGAAUAUUUGAGGUUAUUUGAAGUACUUAAUUGAAUGAAGUUAUCUAUUUAGAUCAAAAGAAACCACAACUGGAUUUAAAUCGAGGAAACGCAAAAGCUUUGGAUUAGUCUCCAACUCUACCUUUGCGACUAUAGUUACCAACGCAAGUUCGUAUGAAUAUAAUUUUAUUAAUGAUACUUUAAUUGAUUAUUUGUUAUAUUAUAUUAGUUAUAAAUUGACUUGAAUAUAUAAAUAUAUUGACAUUUUGAAUAAUUGACAGAUAAAUAAUCUCGUUUGAACCUUAAGAAUUCGUAGGAUAUGAAUGACAUGUCAAUAAUAAUUUCAUGUUUCGGGUACUGGUCUUGAAUGUACUACCAAUGACUAAGGUCCUGCAUUUGUUGUGAAUUCUCCACAGCUCGUGUGAGCAGUAUCAUGUAGCUAAAAUUCUGACCCACAGCUGGUGUGAGCAGGCCCAUUUCACUGCUCGUGUGAGCACUAUUGAAAAUGAAAUGUUACGAUUAUAUGGAAAGGCACACUAUAUGUGAGCAUUCCCGAGUAUCCAAUAAAUUUCUAGAUGGUUCACAGGUAAGUAAAGGUUAAUGGCAAGGCAUGUAUUCAAAUGGAUAAUUAUUCAUAAUCUUAUCAAAGGUAAAUUUGAUGAAUGGUAUGUACAUGGAAAUUUACUUAUGAUAUGGUUGAACUUAUAUGUAUUAUGUAUUAACUUGCUAACUUGUGAGUUUGGUGGUGUAUAUAGGAGUUUAUUUAGCUUAUGAUCAUGGUAAUGAUGUUAUUCAUAUUUUAUAUAUUGAGCUUAAGAAGGGUAAGUUAUAUUUGAAUUUAUACGAGCUUACUAAGCACUAGUUGCUUACGUAGUUAUUUUCCUUUGUUUCGUAGAUUAUCGGAAACUUGAUCGGCUGGAAGCUUGUCAGAGUUCUAUCAACACUAUCCAGUAAUCUCUUUGGUAGUUCUUGAGUUAUUUUGGCCAAGGUUAUAAAUGGUAUAUUGGUUAGGAGAAAUAGGUUGAUUGAAUUGGUAGAUUUAUAUGUGUUUGAAGUGUGUUUAGGUUUAUUGAAGGUAUGUACUAAUGAAGUAGAUUUUUGGGCAAGUUGUGGGCUUUAAAUGGCUUGUUUUUGGGGGUUUGGGUGCCGAUUUUGGAGGAAGAAUUAAGAGAAAAAAAUUAAAAUUUAGGAGAAGAAUGGAAGGGGUGGGGGCGGCACAAAAAGAAGAUUGAGUAGAGGGAAUGAUUGUUGAUGAAAUAAGUGUGAAAAAGGGGUGUAUUUAUAGGGAUGGUGGGGGUUUAAGAGAUAGCAACAAAAAUUUAAAAGACUUUUUCAAAAUUAAUUACUAAAAGAUAAUCAAAAUUAAAAAUAUUAAAAUAAUUUAUAUUUACUAAUUAAAUAAAUAAAAUUAAUUCGACUCAAUAAUUAUCUCUAGCAAGAAAAUCCAAUUAAA